UACGAAGGGGGCUAGCGUUGCUCGGAAUCACUGGGCGUAAAGGGUGCGUAGGCGGGUCUUUAAGUCAGGGGUGAAAUCCUGGAGCUCAACUCCAGAACUGCCUUUGAUACUGAAGAUCUUGAGUUCGGGAGAGGUGAGUGGAACUGCGAGUGUAGAGGUGAAAUGCGUAGAUAUCGCUUGGAACGCCAAAGGUGAAAACAGGUUGCUGGGGUUGUGCCGACGCUGAGACACGAAAGCCAGGGGAGCAAACGGG
rnacentral:rRNA from 1 species